UCUGUUCGCUGUCACUGAUGGGCUCAAAAGCACCAACUGGAGGAGUACUGCUUCCAGAAUCCGUCAUUCACCAUGAAGCCUGUGGGUUGAAUACCUCCCCCAAAGAUGCGGCUGCCUGCAAGCUGUGAAUGUCUAUGUGCAUACAGAGGUGUCUGGGAUGACGUUCCGCGAAUGUUGACAGUGGCACGGCGCUGGCCCCUGGACCGACCCCGCCAGCUCCAGCCAUGGGGCGAUACAGCACAUCGCAGACCUUCAGUCCAGAGGGAAGGCGCUCUUCGUAUCCUUGCAUCCAUAUAGGAUACUAUGAUUUCUUUGAGCUGAGAUGUUCUUCUUCCUUAAAAUCCCCUCCACUAGGGUUCAUUAGGCUUCAGGCUUUGGAAAACAAUGUGGGGACCUUUCCUUUCCUCCUUCCCCCUUCUUGAAAGUGAAGGGGAUGGGGAAGGGCGGUUCCUGGUGGCAGGUGUGUUUUGUCUCCCUAGGUUUUCAGUCCCCGGGGGUCAGGACUGGCUGUCCACUCCGAGGGGAAGAAAAUAGUGGGCCAGAAUGAAGAGUGGCAGCCACGCGGCAUGGCACCUGGGGUCCAGCCGUGGUGGGGUGUCAGGCCGAGGGGGGCGCCGCUCGUGUGGUUAGUGCAGACUGCCUAAUUCUUCCUCAGAUGGUGCUGAGGAAAACGCUGCCCAGAAAGAUCCUCACAGGGAGGUGGAGGGGACACGUCAACACAGGAGGCCAGCCACAUUCUGAGAAGAGCGGAAAAGAGAAUUGGGAAACUCCCUAACGGCCCACUACAGAAAAGAGGGAUUUGCUUUUCUUAACGCCACAGAAUUGCAUCCGGAAAACACUAAUUUUUUAAUUCAGAUUUAUUUAUGAUCACAAAGGAAAAGCAUGUUGAUUUCUCGUUCUCUGGUUCUUACCAGACUAAAAUCAGAAGCCAGCCACGGAGGAAAACAAAGGCAUUUUGACAUUCAUCACUGCUUGUGGAGGACCCCACAAGAUCCUAGGCAUGGCCAGCACUACGGAGAAAAGCAGAAGACAAAGAAAUUCUGAAGAGCCAUUCCAGAUUAAAGGAGACUAAAGAGAUAUAACAACAAAAUGUAAUGUGUCAUCCUGGACUGGCUUCUUGUCAAGACAGAAGUAUUGCUAUAUAUAGUAUUGGGACAACUAGUGAAAUAUGACCCAUGUUUUGUUAACAGUACUGUAUCAGUGUUAAAUUUUCUGUAUUUCAUAAUUAUAUACAGUUAUGUAAAAGACUACCCUAGUUUCUAAGAGAGAGAAACAUUUUAUGGUCAAAGUUCAUGAUAUUUGCAACUUAUUCUCAAAAGGUUGAGGAAAAAUUACAUAUGAAAUACAUGUGUGUUUGUAGGUGUGUACGUAUACAGAGAGAGAAAGAGAGACAGAGACAGAGCCAGAAAUGUAGCAAAAUGUUAACUAACAAUUGGUGAAUCUAAAUGAAAAGCACAUAAAAAUUUAUUGUACUAUUCUUACAAUUUUUGUAUAGAUUUGAAAUUCGUUCAAAAUAAAAAGUAAAAAAUAAAAUGAGUCAGAUAUACCUUAAGAAUAGUAAAUGCGUGGGGAAGUACACAUAAUCCUCAAAAAAGAAAAUUUUCUAGCUGAGCUCUUGUUGCUGGAGUCAGUCUUAGUCUGUCAGAGAAAGUGUGCAAUAUGAAAAGAAUGGUUCAUAGUAUCAUUUAGGAAUGUUUUUGACUUCA